rnacentral:rRNA from 1 species
GAUCAUGGCUCAGGACGAACGCUGGCGGCGUGCCUAACACAUGCAAGUCGAGCGGGGACACGGGGCUUCGGCGCUGUGUUCUAGCGGCGGACGGGUGAGUAACGCGUGAACAAUCUGUCCCAGACAGGGGGAUAACAACUGGAAACAGUUGCUAAUACCGCAUAAGACCACGGCCUCGCAUGGGGCUGGGGUAAAAGUGGGAACACGGUUUGGGGUGAGUUCGCGUCCCAUUAGCUGGUUGGCGGGUAACGGCC